rnacentral:rRNA from 1 species
AUUGAACGCUGGCGGCAGGCCUAAUACAUGCAAGUCGAGCGAGCGGCGGACGGGUGAGUAAUGUCUGGGAAACUGCCUGAUGGAGGGGGAAAACUAAUGGAAACGGGUGCCAAUUCCCCCAAUCAUCAGAUGUGCACAGAUGGGAUUCGCUAGUAGGCGGGGUAACGGCUCACCUAGGCGACGAUCCCAAGCUGGUCUGAGUGGAUGACCAGCCACACUGGAACUGAGACACGGUCCAGACUCCUACGGGAGGCAGCAGUGGGGAAUAUUGCACAAUGGGCGCAAGCCUGAUGCAGCCAUGCCGCGUGUGUGAAGAAGGCCUUCGGGUUGUAAAGCACUUUCAGCGGGGAGGCGUUACCCGCAGAAGAAGCACCGGCUAACUCCGUGCCAGCAGCCGCGGUAAUAC